rnacentral:misc_RNA from 1 species
AAUGAAGGGUAACAAUGGGUUCCGUAUUGUCGGCGUUCGAACGAGGAAGGCAUUGAGAAUCUCUUGUUCAAAUAGGCUCAAAUAUGGCGGACUGCCAUCGGCAGAUUGAGCUUGAUCUAAUAAAAGUAGCAGAAAUGGAUGGAACAAGAGCAGCGGAGGUUCUACCUUUGCUUCAAGAACGUUUGGCCAUACUUCCUGGUGGCCGAGAUCGCAGGGGUGGACCUGUAUUGGUCUUUCCAACCACCCCAAGACGCGAACGUGCAAAACCUGAGGAUUAUCGUCGUCUUCUGCAGUAUCUGUUGACUGUACCUGGCGACGAAGUCAGGGGAUUGCGUUUCACUGUGAUAGUGGAUAUGCGGGGUGCUACCUGGGAUUCUGUUAAACCUAUUUUAAAGGUAUUGCAUGAACAUUUUCAUCGGUCUGUUCACGUGGCUUUCAUCAUAAAACCUGAAAAUUUCUGGCAAAAACAACGAACUUCGUUAGCCAAGCAAAAGAAAUAUAAUUUUGAAAUAAACACCAUCAGUUUGGAGGCAUUGUCGAAAGUGAUCGAUCCGUCGCAGCUAACCGCGGACUUAGAUGGAUCUCUGAAAUACGAUCAUGCUCAGUGGAUCGAUACGAGACUCGCCGUAGAAGACUUUACGUGGCAAGCUGCCGAUCUGCUCGAUAGGUUGGACGACUUGCAAGAAGAUCUGAGUCGAAAUGAUUUCGCGGACGACGUGUCCGGCGCGAAGCACGGUCUCGAUUUACAUAAUGAAAUGAAGAAAAAAAUUCUGAAAGUUCCAGUCGAGGAGAUCGAAGUGGUCGGUCAACGGUUGCUUCAACGUUUCGAUAAUGGUAUGGCUGGUGCUGGCAGCGAAGGAGGCAGUAUCGAAAGUGGCGCGACAGGCGGUACUGACCCUGAUGGACGUGCGUUAGCAGCCUUAGUAAUUCAACACUUGGAUUCCGUACACGCCGCGCAGCAACACCUUUUACAAUUGUGGCAUAUCAAAAAGAUGAAAUUGGAUCAGUGUUUUCAACUAAGGCUCUUCGAACAAGAUUGCGAAAAGAUGUUUGAUUGGAUCUGCCACAACAGAGAAGGAUUUUUGGCGAAUUACGUCGAGAUCGGUCGAUCGUAUCAGUUAGCAAAAAAUCUUCAAGAAGAGCAUAAGCAUUUCACCAUAAGUUCGAUGAACGUUUACGUGAAUAUAAAUAAAAUUCUAACGAUGGCGAGUCGUUUGCUCGAAACUCAGCAUUACGCGGCUGGACACGUGAGGGCUGUAGCUGGUCGAUUGGAUCGAGCUUGGAAAGAAUUUGCCGCGGGACUCGACGAGCGUACAGCGGUCCUCGGUUUGAGCGUCGUUUUUCAUCAUAAGGCGGAACAAUACGUCGAUAGCGUUUCAGGAUGGAGUCAAGCUUGUGAUGUUGGAAAUUUGCCCAACGAAAUUCCGAUCUUAGAAUCUCAUAUACGGCAGCAUCAAACUCUUUACGAAGCCAUGUGUCAAGCUUAUACGGAGGUGCAUAGUACCAGUAAGAAGCUUCUUUAUCAACUGGAUCAUCUGGUGCAAGUCUGUAAUCAGCCACAAGGGAUAGACCAUACAGCCAGAAAACAUAGUCAAGAUGGUCACGGAAUCGAUGGACAUACUGGCAUGAGUGGAAAUCCAGCAGCAGAUUAUAGCGAGGGUGCGUCGCACGUGUUGGCAGUGAUCCAUCAAAUUUUGGGUCAUCACCGAGCAUUGGAAGCUCGUUGGCAUGCUAGGAAAGUGAAAUUACAUCAACGGCUCGCGUUAAGAUUGUUCCAAGAAGACGUAAAACAGGUCCUAGAUUGGCUCACCAACCACGGCGAAGUUUUCAUUCGAAAGAAUACAGGAGUGGGCCGCAAUCUUCAGAAAGCGCGAGUCUAUCAGAAAAGUCACGAACAUUUUGAAAAUGUUGCACAGAAUACUUAUACGAACGCCACUAAGCUGCUUACCGCUGCUCAAGAGUUAGCUCAUACUGGAGAAUGCGCGGCCGACGAGAUAUACGCGGUGGCUCAAGAAUUGGAAGCACACGUCAGUAGUUUUGCGGCUAGAGUCGAACAACGACGUCGAAGAUUAGAUUUAGCAGUUGUAUUUUAUACUCAUGAGAAAGAGUUGAGCGGUUGGGUCGACGAGUUACGGCAAGAGUUACAACAGGACGAAGUUGCGGAAAAUCUGGAAACAGCGGAGCGAUUAUUAGAGCAGUGUGCGCAACAUCGAGCCUCCUGUUUGGAAGCUUGUGCGUCGACUAUCGUUCAAGGCGAAGCGUUGCUUCGAGAACUUCGAGAGUCUACCGAAGCUCCCGACAGUACCGGUUCCAUAUCUGCGGUAGAGGCUGCGCUCGACAGGUUAGCGGGUUUGAGACAGGAAUUGGAAGAAUUAUGGGCUACCAGGAAAUUAAGACUGGAACUGUGUCUGCGGCUGCGUGUAUUCGAGAGGGACGCUUUAGAAGCGAGUGGUCAGCUGGAAAUGUGGGCGCAAGAAUUGCAGGGACCACCCAGAGAGGGUUCUCCCGAACAACUGCUUCGCGUACAUAACGAUGGGGUUGCCCACAUGCAAAACACUGCUUUUCAAGUUCUGCAACAAGGUCAAGAACUCGCUCAAGUAUUGGAACAAGCUGGUGUUUGUAUAAUGGCGGACGGACAGCACAGUGCUACGGCUAGAGUGCAAGUACUUUUAGAAUUUUUAAACGAAAGGGAGAUGGACGCGGAGGAUUUAGCCGAGAUGAGAAGAGUUCGCUUGGAGCAAGCUUCUCAACUGGUUCAAUUACAAACCGACGCUACUCACGUAGCUAGUUGGAUUCGUAACGGUGAGGCGAUGCUCUUAGCUUCUCUGAGAGUUCCGGAAAAUCUACAGGACGCUGAACAGCUUCGUUUGGAACACGAACAGUUUCAAGUCGCUAUAGAGAAGACUCAUACCUCGGCCGUUCAGGUGAAACACAGAGCGGACGCUUUGGUGAGCGCGAAUCACUAUGAUCCGAAGAGCAUAAGAGAAGUGGCCGAGGAUGUGACUAAGAGAUGGCAACAACUGGUGACGUGCGCGGAGGAGAGGCAUAAAUUAGUAACUGCUAGCAUUAAUUUUUACAAGACGGCCGAACAAGUACGUUCCGUGUUGGAUAGUCUCGAACGGGAAUACAAACGAGACGAGGAUUGGUGUGCUUCUGGCGAAAAAGCUGGACAAGUACCGACGCUCGUUGGCAAGCAUCAAGAACAGAAGGAAGCAUUUUUAAAAGCGUGCACGUUGGUACGACGAACUGCGGAAACAUUCCUCAAGUAUACGAACCGCAGUCUUCAGUUUUACAGUUACCAGGCGAAUAGCGCUGGUUCUGAGAACAAAGUUAAAAGUAUUUUGGAAGAGUUGCUCAGCAAAGAGAACCGAGUGCUCGAAUAUUGGACGCAACGUAAGAAACGAUUGGAUCAGUGUCACCAAUAUGUUCUUUUUGAACGUAGUGCCAAGCAGGCUUUAGAAUGGAUUCGAGAAACGGGUGAAUUAUAUUUAGCCACGCAUACUAACGUUGGCAAGAAUCGGAUUGAAAAUGAGCAAUUGCUACGGGAGCAUAACGAAUUCAAAGGCGCUGCGAAGGAAACGAGAGAAAGGGUGAAACUGUUGAUACAACUCGCGGACAAUUUAGUGGAGAAAGGACACGCUCAUGCGGCAGCGAUCAAGCAGUCCGUCGCCGAGGUGGACCAGCGGUAUAAAGACUUCAGUACGCGCAUGGAUUGUUACAAAACUCAAAUCGAGGAUGAUCUAGGAAUUCAAUCCGAUGACGGGCAGAAGGAUCUGUCGAUCGAUCGGAAUUCGGAUCCGUUGCUCGAGGAGAAAAUUAAAGGGAAAGACUUGAAAGAGUUGAACGAGGAAAAGAGGAGAUCGGCUCGACGCAAAGAAUUCAUAAUGGCUGAGCUGCUACAAACGGAACGAACUUACGUGAAAGAUUUGGAAACGUGCAUUCGUUGCUUUUUGGAAGAAACACGAUGCGGUAAAGGGAACGUUCCAUCUGGAUUGCAGGGUCGGGAGUCUAUAAUCUUCAGCAACAUGGAAGAGAUUCAUCAGUUCCAUAGCAACGUGUUUCUUCGGGAACUGGAAAAAUACGAAACUAUGCCGGAAGAUGUUGGACAUUGUUUCGUAACUUGGGCACCGAAAUUCGACAUGUACGUGACGUACUGUAAGAAUAAACCGGAAAGCAAUCAGUUGUUAGUUACUCACGGUGGAACAUGGUUCGAGGAAUUGCAAAGGAAACAUCGAGUCGAACAUCCGAUUGCCGCGUAUCUAAUUAAACCCGUUCAAAGAAUUACGAAAUACCAGUUAUUGCUGAAAGACCUUCAGGCUUGCUGCCAGGAGGGACAGGGCGAAAUAAAGGACGGGUUAGAAGUGAUGUUAAACGUGCCUAAGAAAGCGAACGAUGCCUUACAUUUGAGCAUGCUAGAAGGUUGCGACGUGAGAAUAGACACGUUAGGCGACGUAGUAUUGCAAGAUUCUUUUACGGUUUGGGAUCCUAAACAAUUGAUCAGAAAAGGCAGAGAUCGGCACAUAUUUUUGUUCGAGUUGUACCUACUAUUUAGCAAAGAGGUUAAAGAUUCUGCCGGGAAGGUCAAGUAUAUUUAUAAAAGUCGUCUGAUGACUUCCGAACUGGGUGUAACCGAGCACAUCGAAGGAGACGAGUGCAAGUUCGCCGUUUGGACCGGUCGAGCACCUACCAGCGAUACGCGCGUUGUUCUCCGCGCUAAUUCCAUGGACGCCAAACAACUCUGGGUGAAGCGAUUGCGGGAAGUUAUCCAGGAGACGUACUUCAGUUUGAGCAUGCCGAAGAGUCCCGCCAAGAAGAGUUCGAGUCAACGUUCCAGCAGAGAUCUCGAGGAGUGCGCUUCCCUGGACGACAGCGUCGAGAAUCUGGACAGAAAUUCACUGGCAUCGUUCGGUUCUACGAACACCACGGACUCCGACAAGACCGGCGUAGCCGAAGUGACCUGGGUAAUCGCGGACCACUUGGCGGCCCCAGGAUCCCGCGAGCUGACGGUAACGAAGGGUCAACAGGUGGAAGUCUUAGAAAAUGGAAGUAACGCGAGCGGAGUAAACGCGCCGGAAUGGACUCACGUGCGACUUCUAGUAGCUCCGGGGCAAGUGGAUCCUCCUCCGGAAGGACUGGUGCCUACCAGUGCUCUCAAGCAGCCACCGCCCGUCUCCAGCAAGACUUCGCCGUCUAGAAAAGCUCCGGUGCAACAACCGCAGCAGCAGUAUCAUCAGCAGCAUCAUCAACAGCUAUCUAGCAAUCAAGUUCAGAGCACCUCGCCGAGCGGGAUCGUAUCGGCUGUAGUUUCGUCGGCCGCGAUUGUAACCGGGGGUUCCUCUUCGUGCUCCUCUUUGUCGUCUUCGUCCACCGGCGCGUCGUCGAUCGGAUCGAAUCUGCAGAACGUAGUUACGCCUCUGUUGCCGGACGAAGAGAGCGUAAUCGCGAAUGAUGGAAGCACCGGUGCGAACACGAGCUCCCCAGGGAACAAGCGACGCGGGUUCAGCGGGAGAAAGUGGCUACCCCCGCCAUUGCGUAAACUCAGCCAAGGUAAAGUGGAGAAAUCGACCGCAACCGCGACUACGACUGCAACCUCAAUAUUGUCGACAACGGGAACAGCAACGGCAGCGGCGGCAGCGACCACGGUUCCCGAACGUCCCUCGAAGAAGAACGUUUCCGAGAAACGAUUCAAACUACCGAGCGGCGCCGAACAGACUCGGGUGUCCGGACCAGCCAGACCAUCCAGAGCCGCCUCCGUUUCCGUAUCGACUUUAACGUCCGCGGCCGCGUCUAUGCGCGUAUCCGCUUCGGUGUCCAAAGAUUACGACGCCGAACUCGCUCGAACCGCUGUCGAGGCGGAAACGGAAGAGGAGGAAGGAGAGAUCGAGCAGUCGGAGGCCGAGUUAGAGGAAUACGUUGCCGAACCCGACGACGCGGAGGCUUCCACUUACUCGGAACAGAACGGAGCGGACGAUGUCGAAGACGAAUUGGAACUACCGCCACCGAUGAAACCCAUCACCGAACCGAUACUCGUAGGAACUGCCAACGGAUCCACCGGCUCUACCAUUCCAACCGAAGGCUGCGGGAAAUCUCGAACUUCCGAACGGUCCACAAAGAUUCUCGACGGUGCUACAACGGCCGACUUGGCUGAAAUCGAACAGAUCGUAAAGGAAAGGAUGGAACAGCACACGGAAAAUCUGGAGCGACAAAGCCUCAUGAGAACACCUAGCGGUAAAAGUUCGUCGAACGUCGGUAUCGGCGAUGAAGCCUGCGAGGAAGGAGACUCUCUGUCGUCAGGGGUGUCUAGCGGUAUCGGUGGUGCGAUCAUGAUCCCGUCGACGGCUGCGACACCGACGCCUUCAUCGACUCCAAGCUCGACAGCUACCGCGACAACGAGUAGUCCGGCUCGCAAUCCAGAUCAACACGACGUGGAGAGUACAGCUCUCGCGAAACGACAAUUCGUUAUCCGAGAGUUGGUGGAGACGGAGAAGGAUUAUGUGAACGAUUUGAAGCAAAUAGUCGAAGGAUACAUGGCGUUGAUGCGAGAUCCCGAUUGCGAGAUUCCUUUACCGGAUGAUCUACGCGGUGGGAAGGACAAGAUGGUAUUCGGAAAUAUAGAGGCGAUUUACGAGUGGCAUAGAGACUUCUUCCUGAAAGCUUUGGAGCGCUGUUUGGAACGACCCGAAGAACUUGGCCCGCUGUUUAAACGGUAUGAAAGAAAGUUGCACGUGUACGUGGUCUAUUGUCAGAAUAAACCAGUCUCCGAAUACAUCGUCUCUGAAUAUAUCGACACUUAUUUCGAAGAGCUGAGACAGAAGCUCGGACAUCGAUUGCAGUUAUGCGAUCUUUUGAUAAAACCAGUUCAGAGGAUCACGAAAUACCAAUUGCUUCUUCGAGAGGCCUUGAGACUCACCGAGCGGACUCAGAGGAUUUCGGAAAUAGAAGGUCUCAGAGCUGCGGUUCACGUGAUGCGCGUCAUUCCAAAAGCGGCCAACGACAUGAUGGAUGUUGGCAGACUUCAAGGUUUCGACGGAAAGAUUACGGCGCAAGGGAAAUUGCUGUUACACGGACCUCUUUUGGUAGCAGAAUUGUCCAGUUUACCGAGCAAAGGAAGAGAGUGGCAAGUCUUCCUUUUCGAGCAAAAUAUUAUUUUCAGCGAGACUGUUGGGAAGAAAACGCAAUUUACCAACCCCGCCUACAUCUACAAGGCUCAUAUUCAGGUGAAUAAGAUGAGCCUGGAAGAAUGUUACGACGACCCGGACAAAUUCGUGAUUCGAUCGACCGAUCCUCGGAAGCCUGGCCUUGGAUUUUCUUGUAGCGCGAUCGAAGAGAACGGGCCGCGAAAGCAGGACUGGGUGGACACGAUCACUGCCAUCCUGCAAACUCAACGCGACUUCCUCAAGGCGAUACAGUCGCCGAUUGCCUACCAAAAGGAACUUACCAAAGAUCCAUUUCGUGGCGUGAGUCCGGAAUCUCCGUGUCGAGGACUUUCUACGAGCCUGUCUAAGACAAGCGACGACGAAAGAAACGAAAUCGCAGCUCCCCGAACCGCGACGACGACGACGGCGGCGACAACGGCGGCUCAACGGUCCCGCACCGCCGGAGUUUCGGAUCAGGAACCUUCGCAAACGCCGAGCCCUAGCAAAAGCAGAUUGAAUUUUCUCGAGGGAUUUAAGAGCAGCCUCCGGCCUCGAUCGCCCGUUCGCAACAAUUCUAUCCCGCAAAAGGAUUCUUCUUUCUCCUCCUCCUCUUGAUGCCUGUUGCUACUCGCUCGCUCUCUAUCGCGUAGUUUUUCCUUGGUACGCCGACGGCUCUUCCUACGUUUUCCACCCAAACGAAACGAUGCUACGAAGGAUCACGAUAUCGUAUCGUACAGGGCGACGGCCGGUGGGGUGGCUCGGCUCGUGCUGGAGGCGCGUCGCGUGGAGCGCGCAACCGUCCGCUGGAGGAAGGAGGGACAAC